rnacentral:rRNA from 1 species
UACGUAGGGGGCUAGCGUUGUCCGGAAUCAUUGGGCGUAAAGAGCGUGUAGGCGGCCCGGUAAGUCCGCUGUGAAAGUCGGGGGCUCAACCCUCGGAUGCCGGUGGAUACUGUCGGGCUCGAGUACGGAAGAGGCAAGUGGAAUUCCUGGUGUAGCGGUGAAAUGCGCAGAUAUCAGGAGGAACACCUAUUGCGAAGGCAGCUCGCUGGGACGUUACUGACGCUGAGACGCGAAAGCGUGGGGAGCAAACAGG